ensembl:lncRNA novel transcript
UUUUUUUUUUUUUUUUUUUUUUUGAGACGAAGUCUCACUCUGUCGCCCAGGCUGGAGUGCAGUGGCGCAUCUCGGCUCACUGCAAGCUCCGUCUCCCACGUUCACGCCAUUCUCCUGCCUCAGCCUCCCGAGUAGCUGGGACUACAGGCGUCUGCCACCAUGCAGCUAAUUUUUUGUAUUUUUUUUUUUAGUAGAGAUGGGGUUUCACCGUGUUAGCCAGGAUGGUCACGAUCUCCUGACCUCGUGAUCCGCCUGCCUCGGCCUCCCAAAGUGCUGGGAUUACCGGCAUGAGCCACCAUUUCCGGCAACAGGCAGACUUUUAACACAUUCCUUACCUAAACUUUUAAAAGGGACAAAAGAUAUAUGCCUUUGGUUUGGGAGAUGACGAAACAUAUGCUUUAAUGACUAUUGGGUUGGAAUCUUCUUGAGAGAGGAUCCUUCUUAGCCUAGACUAGAGUCUUCAAAAGCCCACAGUGCUUCGUAAAGUUUCAUACGUGGAAGAGAGAAGGAUGUUCCACUGGAAAAGCAGAAUUGCAGCUGAGCUGUCCUGAAAUGCCCAGCACUCUGUGGAGACGCGGAGGAGGUUUCCUGGGACAAAGUGCUGAACCAGAUGGUGAAGCCAAGGCCUGAAGACCUUUCCUGCAAGGUCGCAGAGGAAGAGGCAGAAGAAGGACCAGAACCCAGCUCCCCUGACUCCCUAUCCAGUGCUCUUCUCAUAGAUUACAUUGCUUCAGCAUCCACCUGGCUAUUGCUCCAUCCAGGGGUUACAGGAGUCACUGACUGUUUUGGUUGCUUCUUGGUUGGAGGAUGUUGUGCCUCACCGAUGAGAGCCGGAAGCAAAGGUACCAGUUCUUAGAGGAAGCAUAGGAAUGUGUCCCUUCCUGCUCGGGUCUCUCAACUGAACUCAACCCUUCCUUGAUUGAUUGACAAGCAUGUUAUCUCUCAUAAUCCCUGCCCGGUAAGGGCUGAUGUCCCCAUUUUACAGAUGAGGAUAUUGGAGCUCAGAGAAGUGAAAUGAUUGCUGAAGGUCACACAGCCUGGCUUCAAGCCUCUCGGGCUCCAAAAGGCAUCUUCUGUUCUCUCCGUCAGGAAGCCUCUUUUGGAUGAUUAACUGAGAUUAAAAAUGAAAAGACACAUGAAAGAAAGGUCCUUUUUUUCAACCUGACAAGAACUAAGAAUGCCUCUGUAUUCCAGGCACCCAGACCAGGGUGGGCUGGAAAGCCAGCCAGAGAGAAAGCAGGAGAAAGAAAGCAUGUUCUAACAGGAAGGUUAAAGCACCCUGGGAUGUGAGUUGGGGUGGAGAAGUGAAGAGGGCAGUUCUCACAGGGGCAGAGCUUGGUUUGGGGUAGGCUAGGAGCUGGGACCAGAAGAGGGACAGGGAAGGGUUUAUUGUGGGUCCACGGCCCAGCUCCACUGCAUGGGCCAUCUGACAGCGCCUGACCGAGCAGAAUGCCAGGGUGUAAAGACCCCACUAAUACCCAGUCAAUGAGAGGAACGCCAGAGGAGCACCCAGAAUGUUCUUGUGCAGAGGCAAAGAGCAGGAGUUUGUGACCACAGCUGGCAGUCCAUGUCAUCCUCACUGAACGACCUCUUAGCAUUCCAGGUGGACAAACAUAUUCACAGGUGCCCAGACAAAUGAGGUCUGCGGGAGAGAGACAGGCUACAUCAGAGGUAGACUAUGUAUUUACAUAAAGUAGGAAUAAGAGUCUCAGAAGCCUUCCAAAGCAGAUGUCUGCUUAAACCUCUUGAGCGGUGCCCUCCUUAGCCUGGAAGGAAGGCCUUGCUCAGGUAGUCUCAACCCGCAUCUGUGGUGUGAUUUAACACCUUCCCCUUCAUUCCACCACACUCUAUCUCAAACUAUCUGUUGUUCUCAAACACACAGAACACUUUCACUCCACCAGCUCUUCCACAUGUGAUUAUCUUUGCAUGUACUUCAUCUUUCUCAUCUACAGCCCCACCUGGCAAACUCCUACUCAGCCUUCAAAACCCUGCCUAAAUGUCACUGAAUCUGGAAGCCUUCUUCAUCUUCUCAGUACACAUUUGUCUGUAUUCCUGAUCCUUUGUCUAUAACUCUGGUAAAUCAUUGAUCCUAGUGCACUGUCAAGAACUUGUCCUAUUUUAUCUGUAGAUUCCCAGAGCCCAAUCAAGAUCCUCACAUGUAGAAAGUAGUAGAUCAAUUAAAUAAAGCAAGCACAGCCAGAAUGGCUGGGAAUUUGAGAGCAUGUGCCCCAGAAUGAUUGUACCUCAGACCUGGAAGAAAAUGUGGAGUUGAUCUAAGUAAACCUGAUGUUUGAACGCCU